GGAGGCUUGGAGUAUCGACUUGGAUAAGCUUGAAUCGUAUUAUUGGACCCUGUGAAGGACAUCGUAAGGGAUCUCAGUAGCAGUCGUCGCGAAACAGGUGAGCCCUAGAAUUGGUGGACUUGGAGCUGGGCGGGAUUCAGAGUGGCCAUGAAGAUUGAUUGACGAUUUUAAAUAAGUUUAGCCUUUAAUUUGGAUUAUUUUAUUUUUAUUAUGCUUAAAGUUGUAAUAAGGCCGCUAUUUUUAAUUAAUUUUAUUUUGGGGAUUAUUAAACUGGCUAGCACUAGGGUUCGUUUUAUAAAA